rfam:Hordeum vulgare subsp. vulgare, WGS project CAJW01000000 data, contig: morex_contig_131638
UAAGUACUCCCUCCGUUCCAAAAUAAGUGACUCAAAUGUGACUCAAUUUUGCAUUAAAGUAGUGUAAAAUUGAGUCAUUUUUGAGUCACUUAUUUUGAGACGGAGGAAGUACUAA